rnacentral:tRNA from 1 species
UUGCCGGCCUAGCUCAAUUGGUAGAGCAACUGACUUGUAAUCAGUAGGUUGGGGGUUCAAGUCCUCAGCUGGUAGA